rnacentral:rRNA from 1 species
UUAAGCAAGAAAGGGCGCAGGGUGGAUGCCUUGGCACUGAGAGCCGAAGAAAGACGUGAUAAGCUGCGAUAAGCAGCGGUGAGGAGCAAAUAUCCGAUGACCCGCUGAUUUCUGAAUGGGGAAACCCGGCUGAGCAACCCUCAGUCACCAUAUGCUGAAUACAUAGGUAUAUGGAGGGAACCCGCUGAACUGAAACAUCUAAGUAGGCGGAGGAAGAGAAAGAAACAUCGAUUCUGUGAGUAGCGGCGAGCGAAAACGGAAGAGCCUAAACCGGAGCGCGUGCGUUCCGGGGUUCGGACUGCGACAUGUGAGCAAUAGGAUAACAGAACAGUCUGGGAAGUCAGACCAGAGAGGGUGAAAGUCCCGUAUGUGAAAUCCGAGUUGCAGCUAGCAGGAUCCAGAGUACCACGAGACACGAGAAACCUUGUGGGAAGGCAGGGAGACCACUCCCUAAGGCUAAAUACUACUCAGUGACCGAUAGCGCAUAGUACUGUGAAGGAAAGGUGAAAAGGACCCCGGGAGGGGAGUGAAAGAGAACCUGAAACCCUGUGUCUACAAGCUGUGGAAGCACUUUAUAUGUGCGACCGCGUACUUUUUGUAGAACGGUCCGGCGAGUUACGCUUACUGGCAAGGUUAAGCACUUCAGGUGUGGAGCCGUAGGGAAACCAAGUCUUAAGAGGGCCAGAGUCAGUAGGAGUAGACCCGAAACCGGGUGAUCUAUCCAUGUCCAGGUUGAAGCUGCCGUAAGAGGUAGUGGAGGACCGAACCCACAUCCGUUGAAAAGGGUGGGGAUGAGGUGUGGAUAGGGGAGAAAUUCCAAUCGAACCCGGAGAUAGCUGGUUCUCCUCGAAAUAGCUUUAGGGCUAGCCUCAUAUUAGUCUUGCGGAGGUAGAGCACUGAAUAUCCUAGGGGGCGUCAAAGCUUACCGAAGAUUAUCAAACUCCGAAUGCCGUAAAGAUGAUGUAUGGGAGUCAGACUGCACGAGAUAAGUUGGGUAGUCAAAAGGGAAAGAGCCCAGACCUACAGCUAAGGUCCCAAAGUACGUGUUAAGUGGAAAAGGAUGUGGGAUUUCGAAGACAACUAGGAUGUUGGCUCAGAAGCAGCCAUACAUUCAAAGAGUGCGUAAUAGCUCACUAGUCGAGAGGUCCUGCGCCGAAAAUGUCCGGGGCUGAAACACGACACCGAAGCUUAGGAAUCGAAAGAUUGGUAGAGGAGCAUUGAAUACGGAACGAAGCAGUACCGGAAGGAGCUGUGGACUGUAUUGAAGAGAGAAUGCCGGAAUGAGUAGCGAGAUUUAAGUGAGAAUCUUAAAGGCCGAAUAUCUAAGGUUUCCAGGGUAAAGCUGAUCUUCCCUGGGUAAGUCGGGGCCUAAGGCGAGGACGAAAGUCGUAGUCGAUGGAUAACAGGUUGAAAUUCCUGUACCGCAUAUAUUCAGAAAUGUGGGGACACAGAUGGAGAGUACAGCCCGGGAAUGGAUAGACCGGGGCAAGCGAGGUAGGAGAAUGGCAGGCAAAUCCACCAUUCAAUCUGAAGACGUGACGCGUACCGAACAAGAGUAGGGAAGUGUAUGAGCCAGCUGUCGAGAAAAGCCGCUAUUGUGAUAUAUGCGCCCGUACCGUAAACCGACACAGGUGGAUGAGGAGAGAAUCCUAAGGCCGGCGGGAGAAGUGUUGUUAAGGAACUCGGCAAAAUGACUCCGUAACUUCGGGAGAAGGAGUGCCACAGAGAUGUGGCCGCAGAGAAAUGGCCCAAGCAACUGUUUAGCAAAAACACAGGUCUAUGCAAAACCGAAAGGUGAGGUAUAUGGGCUGACGCCUGCCCGGUGCUGGAAGGUUAAGAGGAGAGGUUAGAGCAAUCGAAGCUUUGAAUUUAAGCCCCAGUAAACGGCGGCCGUAACUAUAACGGUCCUAAGGUAGCGAAAUUCCUUGUCGGG